UACAGAGGGGGCAAGCGUUGUUCGGAAUUACUGGGCGUAAAGGGCGCGUAGGCGGCCUGCUAAGUCACACGUGAAAUCCCUCGGCUCAACCGGGGGAACUGCGUGUGAUACUGGCGGGCUUGAAUUCGGGAGAGGGAUGUGGAAUUCCAGGUGUAGCGGUGAAAUGCGCAGAUAUCAGGAGGAACACCGGUGGCGAAAAGCGGUGGUCUGGGGCCGGCACUGACGCUGAGGACGAAAAGCGUGGGGGAGCAAACGGGAU
rnacentral:rRNA from 1 species